GACGAACGCUGGCGGCGUGCUUAACACAUGCAAGUCGAACGAGAACGCUCCUUCGGGAGUUAGUACAGUGGCGAACGGGUGAGUAACACGUGGGCAACCUGCCCCAAGGAGCGGGACAACCCGAGGAAACUCGGGCUAAUACCGCAUAAAUCGCAAAGCCUCAAGGCUUUGCGGGAAAUGGUAGCUUCGGCCUCCGCCUUGGGAUGGGCCCGCGGCGCAUUAGCUUGUUGGUGAGGGUAACGGCCCACCAAGGCGACGAUGCGUAGCUGGUCUGAGAGGACGAUCAGCCACACUGGGACUGAGACACGGCCCAGACUCCUACGGGAGGCAGCAGUGGGGAAUCUUGCGCAAUGGGCGGAAGCCUGACGCAGCAACGCCGCGUGUGGGAAGACGGCUUUCGGGUUGUAAACCACUUUCAGGGGGGACGAAGCUUCCGAGGUUAAUAGCCUACGGGGUGACGGUACCCCCAGAAGAAGCCCCGGCUAACUACGUGCCAGCCGCCGCCGUAAUAC
rnacentral:rRNA from 1 species